CCUACGGGAGGCAGCAGUGGGGAAUAUUGCGCAAUGGAGGAAACUCUGAUGCAGCGACGCCGCGUGAGUGAGGAAGUAUUUCGGAUUGUAAAGCUCUAUCGGCAGUGACGAAGAUGACGGUACCUUCCUAAGAAGCCCCGGCUAACUCCGUGCCAGCAGCCGCGGUAAUACGUAGGGGGCAAGCGUUGUCCGGAUUUACUGGGUGUAAAGGGAGCGUAGACGGUUAAGUAAGGUAGUAGUGAAAACCCAGGGCUCAACCUUGGGACUGCUUUUAAAACUAAGUAACUAGAGUGCAGGAGAGGUUAGUGGAAUACCCAGUGUAGAGGUGAAAUGCGUAGAUAUUAGGAGGAACACCAGUGGCGAAGGCGACUAACUGGAUGGAAAUUGACGCUGAGGCUCGAAAGCGUGGGGAGCAAACAGGAUUAGAUACCCGUGUAGUC
rnacentral:rRNA from 1 species